AGCAUUCUAAAUAGAUCAGAGAGGUGGGAUGCUGGAGUCAGGACAAGGACUCCAGCGAGGACUAAAGGAGGCACUGGAGGGGGUCCCAGAGGAAAGACAAGGAUUAUAGAAAAUGCCAGAAAAAUGGUGAUCCACUGAGAGAACUGGCAAGGGCCAGAAAGAGAGCCAGCUUUGGAUGGGGAAAGAUGGAGAAGUGGAGAUUUAGGAGUCAUAAAUGCUGAGGGUCCCCCUAAGGAACUGUCAAGUUGAAACUGAAUGGCAAGGCGAAGGGGGUUACAGAAGCAGCGGGCUCAGCUGAGGAAAGAAAUUAUUAGAUCUUUUCCAUCAAAAAGGAAUCAUUUCAAGCCUCACCAUAUGAACGGUUACUGGAUAAUCCAUUGGUUGAAUGCCUUUGGGUGA
rnacentral:lncRNA from 1 species